rnacentral:rRNA from 1 species
AUUGAACGCUGGCGGCAGGCUUAACACAUGCAAGUCGAGCGGGCCUUUCGGGGUCAGCGGCAGACGGGUGAGUAACGCGUGGGAACGUACCUUCUGGUCUGGAAUAACCCUGGGAAACUAGGGCUAAUACCGGAUACGCCCUUUUGGGGAAAGGUUUACUGCCGGAAGAUCGGCCCGCGUCUGAUUAGCUAGUUGGUGGGGUAACGGCCUACCAAGGCGACGAUCAGUAGCUGGUCUGAGAGGAUGAUCAGCCACACUGGGACUGAGACACGGCCCAGACUCCUACGGGAGGCAGCAGUGGGGAAUAUUGGACAAUGGGCGCAAGCCUGAUCCAGCCAUGCCGCGUGAGUGAUGAAGGCCUUAGGGUUGUAAAGCUCUUUUAUCCGGGACGAUAAUGACGGUACCGGAGGAAUAAGCCCCGGCUAACUUCGUGCCAGCCGCCGCCGUAA